rnacentral:siRNA from 1 species
CGGGCCUUGCCCUUCAUGCCCAGU